GGGGAGAUCCAGACUCUACCCUGAGAGGCCACCCUGCAGAAGGCUUUGGUUGGUGGGCUUGACCAAGGGUCUUUUAAGAAGGGGUGUGGUUGAUACUCAGGUUUAAGUUGUGCUGUGUGAGAUUAUGAUGUAACUGCCCACUCUGGUUGCAUCAAACUUUCAGAAAAAGUUUCCCAAGUACACAGCCCUGUAUUAAUUGUCCUUUGGGGGAAAGAAGGAAGUGUCCUCAGAGAUACAAUGGGAGAUUUUAGACAGAAAAGAGAUGCGCAGGAGGGGAAACACGGAAGAGAGAACAGCAUUCAGAGGAACCAGAAACCGCAAGCCUUUCCUACCACCCACAUACCUCCAUGUGUUCCCACUGUUUGUGAGCUUGGGGUUUAAGUUCAUCUUAAAUAAAUCCUAAAGGGCGCUGAAGCCAGCAAGCUAGGGGACUUGGAAAACCACCAUCAGGCUGCUGACAUCUGGGUCUCAGCUGUCCUGAGGGCCAACUAUGGAAAAGAUGUCCCAGCAUCACAAAGCCUUAUAGGACCUAACCCUGUCCUUAAAGAGCUUGUAAUACUGGGAGUCAAAACCAAGACCAACUAUAAUAGGAACGCCUUCAAAGGAGAACAAACAAGGAGCUUCAUAGUUUCAGAAAGAGGAAAGAAAAAGGAAGAGAAGCAAAAGAGUGCUUCUGGCCAGAGUGAUCAAGGAAGCAAAUUUAUUCCAACAGGUGAGAGGGCUCCAGUGACUGCUAAGGAGAGAAGGGCAAUUUAAGAUCAAUGACAACCAAUUCACAUAAAGCAUUUGGAGUGGAAGAUGACAUCACUGAGCUGUCAGCAUGACAAGGUUACAAAAUCCUGAAAAUGCCCUUGAGCCCAAAAGAAAAAAAAGAGUGCAAUCCGCAAAGAAGGGCACGGGUAACAGACGACGUCAUCUAUUGGACCCACAGAAGCAUGAGGACAGUAGAAACCCUACAUUGCUUCAUUCCUGCGUUUGCCAAGCGUUGAAGUGGAACUGCGGAGAUGGAUGGCUUGGGAUAAUUUUUUGGCAAGGCACCUGAAUGUCAGGGCUUGUUUUCCAGGACCCUGAAGGCAAUUCUCUUUAAAGACACCCAGG
rnacentral:lncRNA from 1 species